rnacentral:rRNA from 1 species
GACGAACGCUGGCGGCGUGCCUAAUACAUGCAAGUAGAACGGUAAAGGAGGAGCUUGCUGCUCUGGAUGAGUUGCGAACGGGUGAGGGACGCGUAUGUAACCUGCCUUGUAUCUUGGGAGGACUAUUGGAAACGGUAGCUAAUCCCGCAUAGUAGUAGAUGUUGCAUUGCAUUUGCUGAAAAUUUGCAAUUUCAUCGCUUCCAUGUGGACCUGCGGUGUUUUAGCUAGGUGGGGGGGUAACGGCUCACCAAGGCGACGAUACAUAGCCGACCCGAGAGGGUGAGAGGCCACCAUGGGACCGAGACCAGGGCCAGAAUCCUAAGGGAGGGCGCCAUAGGGAAACUUUGGACAUUGACGGAAGUCUGAACCAGCCAAGACGCGUGAGUGAAGAAGGUUCUCGGAUUGUAAAGGUCUGUUGUAUGGGAAGAAAGAGUGUGAGAGUGGAAAGUUCACACUGUGACGGUACCUUAACAGAAAGGGACGGCUAACUACGUG